CCGGAGCCGGCGCGACCAAUAAGGUGCCAGGUCCGCGGCCUCCCCGCCACCGACCAAUCACGAGCGAGCCCCCCCGCCGUCGCCUUCCGCCAAUGGGAGAAAGCCCGCGGGCCGGGCCGACGAGGCACACGGACCCCACGAGCGCGGCGGCGGCGACAGCGGCGGGCCAGGCAAGAGCACAACAUGGCGGCGAGCAGGCCGGACCGAGCUACAGCAGCAGCCGCGCGAGGAAGUGAGCCCUGGUGGAGAAUGUGAAGAUAAGGCCAGAGGGAACAUUGAGAAGAAGGAUCUCAACGAAGAUGGAAAAUUCAACAGAACCUUGGAAAUGCAACUGCUAUCGCCUGGGCCUUUGUUCCUGGAAUGGACUCUGAGAGUGCAUGGAAACAUUCCUUGGUCUACCAAGCCUGAGACCCUGAGAUACUGCUGC